CAGAGAUUUCAGGAUUUCAUGAAGUUGAAGAAAAUGAUGUUGGAAUACUGCUCAAAUCACACACAAAUGAGGCUUGGGAAAUUCAGGAUUGAUUUUAUAUGAAUGUCAGAGGGGGAGGAUUCAUUUUAAAAGUGAACCACCUGGGAUGCAUUUAUUCCACAAAGUGAGGUGGUGUUUGUCCAUGAGGGUGUAACCUCCCUUAUUGUCCAUAUCAGAUUUGGAAAGAUGCAAGCUGCUUUGGAAGCCAAAACUACUGUGCCACCAGCAGUGGGGAAGGAAGCAGAAUGUCUUUUCAGCAGGUCAGAAAGUGACUCUAGGCUCUCUGAGGACAGGGCCCAGGUGGGUCUUGUUCCUUGCUAUACCCCAAGUACUUAGCAUAGUUCCUACCUAGUACAGGCACUCAAUUAGUGCUAUCGAUUUACUAAAGGGGGUUGAUUGCUCUAUGGCCAAAUUUGUCCCCUUCCACAAGAGUCCUGGCUGAGACUCUGUGUGGAAGCUCUAGAGAUCUCUGCUUUAGAGCAUCCAGAGUCUUUGCCUGGACAACCAGAG